AUCCAGCUGAUGAGUCCCCAAAAAGGAAGAAACGCGCGUUCUGGAU
rfam:Schistosoma mansoni strain Puerto Rico chromosome 4, complete genome